UUUAUGGAGAGUUUGAUCCUGGCUCAGGAUGAACGCUGGCGGCGUGCCUAAUACAUGCAAGUCGAGCGAACAGACGAGGAGCUUGCUCCUUUGACGUUAGCGGCGGACGGGUGAGUAACACGUAGGUAACCUACCUAUAAGACUGGGAUAACUUCGGGAAACCGGAGCUAAUACCGGAUAAUAUUUCGAACCGCAUGGUUCGAUAGUGAAAGAUGGCUUUGCUAUCACUUAUAGAUGGACCUGCGCCGUAUUAGCUAGUUGGUAAGGUAACGGCUUACCAAGGCAACGAUACGUAGCCGACCUGAGAGGGUGAUCGGCCACACUGGAACUGAGACACGGUC
rnacentral:rRNA from 1 species